CCCCUUGCUGUAAUAAAUAUGCAGACAUGAGAACUGUGCCUUGCAACCCGUUGCUUAAACAGCUUUAAAAAACCAAAAUACCCACUUUGGUGAAUACAAAGAAGCCAUCGGGAGUAGACCAAAAGUGAACGCACCGAGGCCUUUUGCUGGAAGAGAAGGCAUGAGAGGAGCAGUGCGCCACAGUCAAAACUCCACCCUCAGCAAAAAGAACAGAGGAACAAAAGCAGCGAGGUGCAGCAAGGAUUGGAACAAGGCAGGUUGAGGUCAGAGAUUUCCCACUGGCUUCCAGCUGCCAGGAGAGCCACACUACCGAGCGGAGUGCCAAGGGAGAGGCUCCAAAGUUUGCUUAUGGAGGUUUGGGGAGGUUGGUCUGUGACAAGCCUUUGGUGUGCAGGUGAAUGGACUCUAUCUCAGCUAUCAGAUCUUCAGAAUCGUAGAACCAGAAAGGUUGAAGAAGAUAUCUAAGAUCAUCUGGUCCAGCCAUCAACCCAUCCCCACCGUGUCCACUAACCCACGUCCCUCAGUGCCGCAUUUACAAGUUUCUUGAACACCUCCAGGGACAGUGACUGCACCACCUAUCCAGGCAGCCUGUGCCAAUGCCUCACCACUCCUUCUGAGAAAAAAAGUUUCCUAAUAUCCAACCCGAACCUCCCCUGACACUACUUGAGGCCAUUACCUCUUGUCCUAUUGCUAGUUACAAAGGAAAAGAGGUCAACCCCCACCUUGCCACAGCCUCCUUUCAGGCAGUUGUAGAGAGCAAUAAUGGCUCCCCUGAGCCUCCCUUUUCCCAGAAUGAACAAUCUCAGUUCCCUCAGCUGCUCCCCAUAAGACUUGUGCUCCAUACCCCUCACCAGUUUUGUUGCCCUUCUCUGGAUGUACUCCAGGGCCUUGAUGUCUUUCUUGUAGUGAGGGGCCCAAAACUGAACACAGCACUCGAGGUGCAGCCUCAUCAGUGCUGAGUACAGAGGGAAUCUUCCUCGGAGGAUGAUGGUUAACUGAAUUAUUUUACUGACAGCAGCUUUGAUUUGAUAAAACUCUGAUAAAAUUAAUACAGGGAAGUGCUUCAUUAAAAUCAGGAUAAGCUCCGUGGAAAGCCAGUGCAUCACACCUAGUCCACCUCUCCUGGUAGCUAACUGUGUUUCCAGGCUCUGAGCCAAGAAACCAGAGCCAUCUGCAUGCACUCAUUCUGAGAUGCUCCUGCCAGGGCUCCCAUGCUCCCUGCAAUCAGGUUCUCAGGUGGGUUCCUGAGGUAGCAGGGCAUAUAUCCUGCCCUGAGGCAGGAGAGCUCACUGUUCCAUGGUCUGCAGCUGUAGCAGAGAGAUCUUCCUAGGCCUGGAGCUCUGCCUAUAGCUGGGCGCAUCUUCUGCUCUUUAGGAUGGCUUCCUGAGCCCUGAGAGCCACUGAAGAUCUCCUGGGACUUCCAGGGCAGAAGGUUAGGCUCUGAAACUGAACACAGCAGGAUGGAAUUCCAACGCCUGGUGCAGCUCCUCUGUUCAGGCUGUUGUAACACUGCUGGACCAUGGGCAGCUGCUUUCUGUCCUGGCUGGCUCCCCGAGACAUUGUGAGGGCUUUUCAGAAUUCUCAUUUUGAAGGAAAUGUGGAUAUCUUUAGCCCUAAUUAAUAAACAUUGACCUUUUAUGAACUGGCAAAGACAUCACAUAUAUGAGCUCCCAGAAGAACUUCCUUUUGGCUUUGGACUCAUCAUGUGGGUGGUGCUGGCAAGCCAGCAGGGGAUUUUUGUUAUGAGGGUGGUCAGGUGCUGGCACAGCCUCGCCGAGAGGCUGCGGGGUGUCCAACCGUGGGGACACCCAUCUGAACAUGGCUCUGGCUGAGCCUGCUCUGGGGAGGAUGGAGUUAGGACACGUCUGUCUGGAUGUGCCUGCCAGCAGCAGUGAUUCUGGGGGUCAGCACUGACAGCAAAAAAGCUGACUUCUGCAGGAAGACUAAAAGCUUCUCUUUGACCAUCAGUUUUAGCUGCAUGCUCAUGGGCAGGAAGCAUUGUCUUUUGGAUGAGUAGCUUUCCCCAGCUGACGAGAACACAGCCUGGAGCACAGCAAGAAAAGCAGCAUACUAAGCAAUGAGGGCUGCAGCAGAAAUAGGCUGCCAGUGGGACUGGCUGUGUUUUAUGGCCAUCCAGACCAUGUGGCUGCAGGGAAACCGUGAUAUCCAUCGUGCAACUUGGAGUGAAUCUAUCUGAAGAAUGACUUGCAAAAAGUCAGAAUUUGAGUGGAAAGUAAAGGGUAAAAAUGGCAGAAAUCCCAAAGCUCAUUCUCAGCACUUGCUGCUGGGAGUGGGUAGAAGCCUGUCCUCUGGGCACAUUAGAGAGUGAUUUCAGUUCCUGCAUUCUCUCCAGACAGCUGGUACUGGGCUUGUGACUUGAUGUGCCAGCACAUACUUUGUGCCCUUGUUUUCUGCCUCUCUUUUUCUUCCUCCUCUCCAGUGUGAAACCCAUCUCCAGCUUUCCUUGUCAUUGCAACGAAUGGAAGUCUGCGGCUGUGUGCAAAUACUGUCUCUGCAGCAGUACAAGGAAGGAUGCGAGGUGCCAGGACUCAUCCCACCACUGAGAGGAGGAUUCGGUUUCUGGCUGCGGUUGGUAAAAGACAGAUGUACAAUACACAAAGCAAGAGAUGACAUUCAGAAUGUGUGUCACCGUUUGCACUGGGCAGGUUGGUGUAACUGUUUGCAUGUCCGCCUUGCAGUGCAGUCCUGUUGGUGAGUGCAGGAGUCAUUUCCAGCUCUCAUUCUCAUUCUCAGCCCUCUCAUCUCUCAUUCUCCUGCUUCCAGUUGCUGAACCCAUCCCCAGCCCGUGACUGUCAGCACCAGCCUUGGUGCUUCCAUGUCUCUCCUGAAUCCACAGUGUGGAAAAACCAGGCUACAAACAUGUUGAGAAGACAGAUGGAUUUCAGCGAGGCUCAGGGGGCUGCAGAGAGGGUCUGGGUACAGGAAAUUGGCAAAGUAGAUGAGGAGAUGGGAGGAAUUUGUGAAGGUAAGGAAGCAGGAGUGGAGGAGGAAGGGUGGGGGAACAGGCUGGUGCAGCAACGGAGAGGUGCAGCUUAGUCUGAGAGCCAGGAAGGGAGGGCAGGAAAGCUCACAUGGGCUUUGCUGUUGAGGCAAGGACGAGGGAUGGGAUGGGCAUCUUAAUGCUUUGGGAAUGGAAAUGGAAGACUUCUUAAGUCUCAAAUGAUAUCCAGUGGGUGUUUCCUGAGCCAGGAGAUGUCCCACCUUGGCCACCACUAGGAAAAAGAGCAGACAGAGAUGGCAACUCUCUUUCUUCUUCUCUAAGUACUAUGAUUGUCAACAGCACAAAGGGAGUUUUUGAGGAAGAGAUAGCUAACCAGUGAGAAGCAUUGGCUAAAUGGUUACUUAAGAAGAUUCAUUUUUCAAAGCCUGUGGUACUCAUGCACUGGAACUAACAGUUUCCAGGUCCAAUCUCCUGCUGGCGGGAGGACGCUGAGAAGUGCAGCUGACAGAUGGGUGUGCUUGCAGCCAAUCUCCCUGCGGUGCCCUGGCAAUGUACGGUGCAGCGCAGUGGAAAAGCACCGUUCAUGGAACAGACUGGAAACGAGAGCACUGACAGUGAGCUGUACUUGGACCAGCUCAGCCAAGCUGUAUUUCUGCACUGCUUAUAAAACCAGAAUUCAAUUUAUACGUGGAGUUCCAGAGUAUCAUCAGGUAGAAAAUAACAACAUGGUCCUAAAUCCUCUUCCCUCCUCUUCACGCAGUCAUAGGGGAGGAUGCUGCAUUACCCCUCGAUGCUAUGGGUGAAUUUCCUUAAGUUUUGUAAGCUGCCAUUUGCAUCCUUUCUUUCCCCUUUUCUAUCACCACAGCUUAUGACAUGUUAACGUUGGUGACAUUGUUCCCAGGUCCAUGGGAUGCCAGUGGGCAUGUCCAUCUUGCCUGGCGCUGCUGCAGUGAAGGACUGCAAACCCACAUGUGCAUUCACGUCUGUAAUGGUUCAGAGACUCCAGAAGAUCAUAUUAAAUUAAAUUAAGGAGAGUAAAAUGUGUAUCAGGGGCAAUAUGAGGUGAUGCUUCAUUUCCAGUGUCCCAACUUGUUAAAAUAAAAAGCAUUCAUUCCAGUUGAAUAUUUAUCACUAAAUUUGAAGCAAAAGUAAAAAUGCCCUUUGGUUUCUCUGCAAGAAAAGUAAAGCCUCAUUGAAAUCUCACCACGGAGGAAUAUUUUUAACAUACAGAAAGUUUCCUGUUUUUAAAGGCAGUAAUGCAAAUUUGAAGUAAGACAAUGUAAAUUAUAGAGUGACUUCAAUGAGCUAUUUUGUGACCUUGCGAUCUUUAGAGCUAUUGAAGGGAGUCAACCGUGCUUCUGGUGGGUGGCUGCGCAUGGAACCGAAGGGAAAUAUGUUGUGGGGGUGAGGGUGCCUGGCUGCUGUGAUGCAUAAGUGACGAUUUAGGGUUAGUGAGGAUGUCUGUGUUGCCUUAGUGAUGGCUUCCUGGGAUUUUUUUGGUGGCGUUCACAAGAACUCGAACUGGGGCUUUGUUUUGCAAAUCCAAUGGUGGGGCGUGGGCAAAUCACCCAUAUUUCCCUCUGCUGACUGACUGCCUCUGGUUGCUUCAUCUGAAUCCUGCUCAGUUUAGCUCAUAAAAACCUCUGUUUAUUGAAGUCUCCAGAACUGAGUACUGUAGCUUUUCUGGAUGGGAAUGGGAUGAGGCAAUACACAAACCCAAGAAUCCUUGUGUUUAUUUUGUAUUUAAGAACUCGUCCAAGCCAGCAGCCAGCAUCUGCCACUGCUUCUGUCUGCAUGAGCAGCGGUUACCUUCAGCAUGGACUCGCUGGCUCCUUCAGGCAGUAUGCUGGUAAUGGAAAGAAGCCUCAAACUGUUGUGUCCUGAGACAGCAGCCAUCCCUGCUGCCUUCUCCAAUGGGUCUGAUGCCAUGAGUGUGGGUGGCAGGCAGGUCCCCAGGAGCAGCCCCAGUGCCUGUGGAUCAUUGCAGCACAGCUAGCCUGGCCUGAAAGGCAUCCAUCCAGCUCUUCAGCUAUUAUUAACAAAGGAACAUUUUUCAAAAAGACUUACAGUGUUUGUUUUAAGCUUUCAAUUGACUGCUGUUUAUAUGAUUAUGUAUGAAUGAAGGAAGAAAAAGCUUAAAAAAUGCCCCAGGUUCACCCACCAUAGCAUGGAAAUACACCUCAACUGUUUACAAGUGCUCCUUGUUUUGUGUUCGGAGGCCGGAUCUCUGACUUCCUUUUGGACUAUUCUCCACUGGAAAUGAGGACUCUCUGCCAAAAUAGUCCACCUUUUCCUGCAAGAUUUGGUAUUAAUAGUUCUGACAGAACAUCUUGUUCCUAUGCAGUACAGGAGUCUGUCUCGCAGUAGGUUCUGAAUAGGGGUCCGGUGCAGCAGCAGAGCUGUUUUAUUUUGAGAUGAAAUGUCUACUGCUUAAAUGGAAGAAGCCGGAGUUUAUGCUGCUCAUAACCCACAACGUAUCUCCAGAACUGGGAGGAAAGCACCAGUUUUAAUGGUGCAGCAGAUUGCUGUGCUCAGUUUCAUUUAAAGAAAGGAGUGAUUUUUAUUAAAGCACAGUAUGGCUUGCAGUGUGUUAGAAACACAGCAUUCCAGUGCCCAGAGAGGGCUUCUCCCCUCCCCCUCCCCAUGACACCAGAACUGUGCCCCCACACACCCCAGCCUGCCCUGAGCUCAGUGCUCCUGUAUGCCUUGGCCGAAGCACCAUUGGGCUCAGAUGCUCUUGACCUAGCACACAUAAUAGGGCAAUCCCAGACUUAGCUGAGGGCUGCUUUGGAAAAGCUUGUGACAUCUCUUAAUUUAUUCUUUCUUGGUUUUCAUUGUUUGAUUUCAGUUGUUUUUCACUCGCAGUCACUGUGGCCAUGACAGGGGAUGAAUGAUCUUUGAUAAGGGUUAUUUGUUUCUUGUGGUAGGCAAAGAAAUGCCAUUUGUAUUCUUGUGAGACUUUUCCCAUCAGAGCUCAGUAAUUGUUGCUGCAGACUGCAGUGCAGUGAGUGCCAUGGCAUUGUGUGCACCGGGACGCUGAGCGGCUCCUGCGUGUUUUAAGGCUAUUUUCCUUAGCACUAUAUAUCUGUGCUUCCUCGGUGGUUGCACACAAUUGUUGCUAUAUAUUAUUUUAUUUUUAUAGCAACUAAACAAUAACGUCAUUUGUUCUCCUUGGCAAAGUUUUCUCUGCCUGUACAUGAGAUGUGCGUAUCAGAAAUAUAUUCUUUUUCCCCUUCUGCAUUCAGAGCACAGCUCAGUAUCGGGCUCGUUUAGGGAGUUCAGAGAACUGAGAAAAUCCUGUAAUCUCCUUUUUUUUUUUUUUUUCCCAUAACAACUUAAUUUCCCCUAAAUUAAUGGAAUGCCUCAAACACUCGAUUUGGGCAGGCUUCAAACAGCUGCUGCUACAUGCCAUAGAAAACAGGCCGUGAUUGUAAGCAUUUGUAGACGUUUGUGAUUUUUGUCCCCGUUUUCUUCUCAAGACAUACUCCUUGCCUCCGUGCCAUUACCAUGGUGGGGCUGUGCUGCUGCUCCACAAGCCUAACUGAGUUCCCACGUCAAACAGAAACUUACUUUGUACCCAUUGACUGAGCAAUGUCGGGAAGGAGAAACUUGGGAGAGUUAGAGCUGAGACCAUAAAAUUUGCUUUAACAACGACAAAGACCUAAUCCUCUUUUCCUAUCUCAAAGUUUUACUUAUAGAGAAGCUUUUGUAAAGAAAACAACCCAAUAAUUACAGCCAGCAUCCAGUGCUGCUGGAGAGGGAAUGUGAGGGAAAUAACGAAACGAGGGCAGGAAGGGGUGCUCUGUGCUGCUGGUAGCUCUCAGAUUGCUUUGCUGAUUCUGACCUUGUUUCUCGAGAGGACGACAACUCAGGAUGAAAGCAGACAAAGCAGAGAGGGGGGCAAAGGGAAAAUAAGAGGAUGCAGGCUCUGUCUGUGCCGUUGGCAGCUCAGUUAUGACAGCUGCAGCAGCGUCAUGGAAACGACAGCAUUUCAGCACCAUGCCCACGGUCCCAUGCUUCACCUGGCUGCAUUCCCCAGCUCCUGCCUGUCUCCAGGCUUGCCUGCUGAUUGGAAGAAAUGCAGGUGGCUGCAUGAAGGACAGAUUUGUCUCAUCACAAUAAGCAAUAGAAGCAUUUUUCUCCAUGCUGUAAAUGAGAAGAUGCAGAGCAGGGGGAAACCUGCUGCUGGCAGUUUGUGAUCGGGAGAAGGGAAGCCCUUGUAUGGGUGCUUUCAUAGAAUCAUAGCAUCACA